rnacentral:lncRNA from 13 species
CGAACUUUAAACCGACUUUACCAUUUUCUAAUGGGGUAGGCUCCGAAUAAUGCAAGAACUAAUAGUGGAGUCUGAAGAGUCGAGUUUAUUUUCUAUUUGAAAAGUAAAUGAUCUAGCCUAUUAACUGCAUUUGCAAAAAUAGGCCAAACUAAGACAUGUGCUCAAAUUGUAUAUGAUUGUUUUGUUUUGGCUCACCUAUUGCAUAAAAUAGUUUUCUAUUUCUUAGUUUUUAAAUUGUAUUUUUCUUUUAACAAUUUCCUGGUGAUUCCGUUGCAAUUGGAUUAUUUAUAGGGUCGAUUUGUAACGCAGAAGAGACUUCUAAAGAUGUCAAGCAGGAGAUAUGCUAACUUUUUCGUUCUUGGAGUGACAUUUCUUGUAUUUCUUACAUUUUCGAAAUGUGGGACACUAGUGAGGCGUUCAGCCCGUAAAGGGCACGAGAUGCAGAGGCGAACGGCGGGCAGGUACCAACACGCAACCGUGAAUGAUCAAGUUUAUCAGACUCAGUGGAGAAUGACGACGACUUCAAAACCCAAAUUAAAACAGAAACAGUACCAUUUUAAUGGAAAGAAAUACUGGAAAUACGCAACUAAUGUCACACUUCAGUUAAAUGGGACUAACGUAUGUGGAAACAGGUGCUGCCACGGAUGGACCGUUUCACCCAAGACUCAGAAAUGCACCAAACGUAAGAUUCUCAUGUUCACUGACCUUUCUCCAAGCAUAGCAGGUCUGUCAGCCCUUCCAUAACGUGUAAUGUUGUUCCACAUUGUUGGGGAAAUAUUAUAUAAAGAUCUCGUCAUACCGUAUAAUGGAAUAUCAUGCAUAAAUCUUUUUUGUUGCAAGGAGCCGCCUUAUACAGUAGGGGAUGGUUGUCCUUAUUUCUCCAUGACAACCAGAGUUUUCUUGCUCAUAGGGGGCACAGGGGCACGUGCCCCCUCAGAUUUGUCCUGUUAACAAAAUAUAUAUAAUAACUCUGUAAUACUACUGACCACCAACAAUCUUAUGAAGUUGGGUUAAGCUAGCCCAGAUAGGUUCCAACCUCAUAACUAGCUACCAAGAAGCCAUUUCAGGCUAUCAAUCAAGUGAGUUAUAAACAAGCUAGCUACUCUAUCUUAGCUGGCAUGCCUGCUGGCAAGGUUGGUAGAAAAGCUAGCAAUAACUAAAUGUUCUGAAUAAGACUGCCAUUCCUUUUAUUAUUUGACCCAGAUUUUAGCAGAGAAGUAUACUAGUUUAUUUAAAUAAAUAAAUAAAUAGCCACCAGUCAGGAGGAUACAGACAGCUCAAGAGGUAGGCUUAGAUAUGCAGAAAAAUACAUAUUUGUUUUUACAUAGAAUUAAACCUAAUGAUUAUGGCUCUAGAUUGCAGGAAAAAGCUGUUUCAGGCCUAGCCCCCCUCCGGACCACCCCCCAGCCAUCUUCACGUACUUUAUGCCCCCUCAGAUUUUUGGAGUACAUGACACCCCUGAUAACAAAACUCUCUAUCAUGGUACUUGUGAUUGAUCUAUUCCCAGUACUCUACUGUAUAUAGAUGGCAAGCUGUCAGUAGUUGGUUUAAUAAGGAGUGAGCGAGCAUCAAUCAGGCUCUAUAGGACAAUGGAAUGUUCUCUCCACCCAGCUGGAAGUUGUAAUGUCACAUCCAACAUCAGCAGAACCCAGUCCAACCUGUGUUUCCUCCCAUUUCACUCAGUCAGACAUCUGGAGAACGUAUGAUUUCAUUGUAUCAUCAUUUUCUGAUUAUGAUGGGGGUGUGGAUGGCAAAUGUGAAUUCCGGUCAAGACCUACACAGUUUACAGAUAUACUAUCUUAAUUUGACCUUUUUAAAUCUCGACCACACUACAAUUUGCAUUUCCUGCUGCGCAGGAAAAUUCUCUGCAACAACAGAUUGAUCAAAUUAAGAUAGGACACCUUUCGACUUGCAAGUGCAGCAAAAAGUGUCCGGUAUCGAUAUGUUUCGAUAUGUUAUGAAAGUGAAUAUGUCAUGUGUUGAUAGUGUUGAGCACCUCUGGUCUUGAAGAGUCUGUCGUAGGCUGCAUUUACACAGGCAGCCCAAUUCUGACCUUUUUUCACUAAUUGGUCUUUUGACCAAUCAGAUAAGCUCUGAAAAAGAUAUGAUUUGAAAAGACCAAUUAGUGGGAAAAAGAUCAGAACUGUGCAAACACAGCCAUAGUGGUCUGUGAUGAUGGCCUAACUUGGACUUGACCCUGGACCAGCGGGCCUUUUGCUAAACCCUUGACAGGCCUGGGCCCAUAUUCUUAAAGCGUCUCAGAGUAGGAGUGAUAAUCUAGGAUCAGACCCCCGCCAGCCCUUAUAAUCAUAUUAAUUAUGAUCUAAAAGGCAUAACUGAUUCUAGAUCAGCCAUGUAACUCUGAGGCACUUUGUCUACACACAAUGCGAGCACUACUUUGUCUACACACCAUGAGAAGAGGUCGGGACCUUUUAAGAAAGGAAGAGCUCCUAUUCAUGUCUGUCUCCCAACACAUCUCUGUGGCGUAAUCAUUAUAAUCCACACCUCCAUAAACCUUGUCGACAGGGAUUGGACACUUUUACUUGAUCCAACCCCUUGACCCAGAGGAUUUAAAAGGCCAGUGUCAUGUCAAAACAACCUGGCUCAGCUAUCCUGCAUAGCACGGCUCUGCACAUUGUCAGGAAGCACAAACUCACUGCGAAACUCACACUCACUCAUACACAUUCAUGCAUGCACCCACAGAGGCACACACACGCAGGCAUGCACACACACAAAUAUACUCCCAUACUUCCUUUCCCCCUCUAAGGUGUAUUGAUCAAAUAUAAAAGCCACACUGAAAAGGAAACUCUGAAGUGGAAGCAGAUUUAGGCCUAGAUUCAUUCAGAUCAAGCGUUAACCAGCGGUAGCCGACACCCACAUAGCCGAUGUUUUGGUGUUGUUGGCGGUGGAACUGCGUUGGAGCUGUCGAAUCGGUGAGCAGCUGCUCUUCUGAUCUUUGUCAUGAAACCACACCUGUCCCACUCGUGUUAGAAGUUCAGAAUGAGAAAGUGUAGGCUAUAUCGAAAUAUGACCCUCAAAUUGAAAAUCAUUAAACAAAAUAAUGAGGAUUUCUAUAAUCCUAAUCGAGGUGUAGAUUCCUUCUCACAUUCCAGUGUUCACAUUUGUAAGCAGUGCUGCAUGGGAUUUCUCUUAGUUUUUUUCAAUUGCUAACUUGUAUUGGUCAAAACAGAAGUGUAUGUGGACCAAACUGUGAAUAAUUUCUCAUUGCUUUCACACAAAAUGCAUCCAAUGACCACAUUCUCCAAAAUCCAUGAACUCUGUUCUCAUUCAUACUCCACCACCUGCAAAACUAUAUAUUUGCAGCACAUGUUUUCAAAUACAAACACAUUGUUUCCAAUACUGUUCAAAAACACAUUCAAAACAGAAUGAUGGCAAAUGUAUUGCAUUUCUGCUGUAACCAGAUUGAAACAUAUAGAACAUUUUAGCAGAAUAUUUAAUCAUUCCAAACACAGCUGAUUGCAAUUUCAGCUGAAAGCCGACCCAAGUGUCCUGUUUUUAGUCUCGUUACCAAACAGGCAAAAGAGGAUGGCUUCGGAAUGAUUUAGUUUGGAAACAUGGAUCAAGGAAGACCGGUUGGUGGGGAAAGUAGAGUGGCAGGGUUGGAUUAGACAUUCCUGAAGAUACUUUCCAAGUUACAUUGCCAGAGAAGACAUAAGAUGUGAUGUUGAUGAGAACUUGUGGCCAAAUGCAGGAGAGAGGGAGAACUAGAACCCUCACAGUACUCUACAGUAUGAGUGAUUAUACUAUACAUGUGGAUGAGAACUAGAACCUCACAGUACUGUACAGUAUGAGUGAUUAUACUAUACAUGUUGAUGAGAACUAGAACCCUCACAGUACUGGACAGUAUGAGUGAUUAUACUACACAUGUUGAUGAGAACUAGAACCCUCACAGUACUGUGCAGUAUGAGUGUUAUAUUAUACAUGUUGAUGAGAACUAGAACCCUCACAGUACUGGACAGUAUGAGUGAUUAUACUACACAUGUUGAUGAGAACUAGAACCCUCACAGUACUGUACAGUAUGAGUAUACUACACAUGUUGAUGAGAACUAGAACCCUCACAGUACUCUACAGUAUGAGUGAUUAUACUAUACAUGUGGAUGAGAACUAGAACCUCACAGUACUGUACAGUAUGAGUGAUUAUACUAUACAUGUUGAUGAGAACUAGAACCCUCACAGUACUGUACAGAAUGAGUGAUUAUACUAUACAUGUUGAUGAGAAUUAGAACCCUCACAAUACUCUACAGUAUGAGUGAUUAUACUACACAUGUUGAUGAGAACUAGAACCCUCACAGUACUCUACAGUAUGAGUGAUUAUACUACACAUGUUGAUGAGAACUAGAACCCUCACUGUAAUGUACAGUAUGAGUGAUUAUACUACACAUGUUGCUGUUUUUUGUAAUUAUUAUUGCAGCCCUGGAAUUUCAGGAAUUUGUUUUUUGUUUCAACCUUUUAUAAAUUAAAUGUAGUAAAUUACUACAUGCAAAGAUAUAGAAAAAAUAAAGGUUAUUGAAGCAAAUUGCUGCAUUUAUUAUUCAUUAUUGUUACACAUAUAUUUUAGUACAGUCAAUAAAGUGAAAAGGUGUUGUUCUUAUUCUAUAAUGAAAUGCUGAUUUAUGUGAAAAAUAAUUCAAACUUCAAAGAGUUCAUCAUUUAUGUAAUGCUCCCUGUUGUUAGUGUUUUUUAGGUCAGUGUGUUAUGAGUGACAAUGUACGCUUUCUGAGUGAGAAUUGUUGCCAGUGUUCUGGUCGAACAAGCUUAUUUUGAGACAUGUAUGAAGUGUUUUGGUGGUCUGAGUGAGUUUUGGAGGUGAGAUUAACUGUUUGGCAAAGAUGCAUGUUGGUAAUGCAGACUGUAUGAAGAGUUUUGGAAAAAAGUGGCUUCAGUAUUGACCGAUGCUUGUCAGCAAUUGAAAACAAAACUGUAAUGUGACUCAGUGCAGCCAAUGACAACGUCCGCAUUAUGUAUAACGCCGUUCGUGCUUUUGGCAGCCCUUACGCAGUUCCACGUCCAGCACCACCAAAACAGCCGCUAUGUGGAUGUCGCCUGAAGCCAAUCUGAUUGAAAAGAGCCCUUCAUUAGAUUCAGUCCACUGUGCACUUUGAGCCUCACUUCUGGUUGGUCACAUUGUGCUAGCCUUCGUGCGAAAAAGCCACGGAUAAAAAGGGUUUCCAUGCACAACCCCUGACAAAAAAUGUCAGUAAGCGGUGCCCAUCGCUGUUGAUAUUCAUGGAGGCGGCCAGGAGAUUUGUGGUAAGCUGCUGGGUUUGGGAUACACUGUUGUUGUCUGUGUCCAAUGGGCCAUUACUGGAGCCCUCCAGGGGAUUCGACCCGGGCACAAUGGCGCCCAGCCAGGGAUGAUGGGAGAAACCAAGAGCCUGGGACCGGGGGUGGGGGGCCUGCAUCGUGUAUGCAUGAAUACCCCCUCCCUGUAUCCAGGACCAUGGCUCUCGCCCUCCUCUCCUCUUUUUUUCAUUCUUAGUUCAUUUCAGGGGAGUGAAAUCUUGACCGUUCCACCAUUGGCUGUUUUACCUGUUUAAGUCCACAUUUACAGUCCACAUUAAGCUGUUUGUCCUACUGAGUUUUUAUUGAGAUAGUAAAAUGUGCCGCACAUAGUGGUCGAAGCAGUUAUCCUCUUACGGUUGAGUUUCUGCUCUAGCAUCUUAGCCCUCUCAACCA